AACCCCUUGCACAUCUUUCUCUCUGCGCAAAUCUACGGAUGUUCCAUUUCUUGGAAUUAAACGAUAUUUCCAAGGCUUUUGUGCUUAGUGAUGUGAUAAAGAUAAGGGGAGGAGUAAUAUAUAUGAGCACACAAAAAUGGAGAAAUACUUGAAGUUGGCGCAAUCAUUUGCAUUUGUUUGGGGAUUCAUAUUGCUGGUGGCUCUCGUGUGUUGCUGCAUCAACACCAAACCUGAUCGGGACAACGAUGACGAUGCUAGCUGUGCCGGCUGCGACGGAGGACA
rnacentral:lncRNA from 1 species